AACUUUUAAAGGAUAACAGUCAAU
rnacentral:tRNA from 1 species